rnacentral:rRNA from 1 species
GACGUAGGGCGCGAGCGUUGUCCGGAUUUAUUGGGCGUAAAGAGCUCGUAGGCGGCUUGUCGCGUCGUUCGUGAAAACCCACAGCUCAACUGUGGGCUUGCGGGCGAUACGGGCAGGCUAGAGUUCGGUAGGGGAGACUGGAAUUCCUGGUGUAGCGGUGAAAUGCGCAGAUAUCAGGAAGAACACCCGUGGCGAAGGCGGCUCUCUGGGACGGUACUGACGCUGAGACGCGAAAGCGUGGGGAGCGAACAGG